rnacentral:rRNA from 1 species
GAUGAACGCUGGCGGCGUGCCUAAUACAUGCAAGUCGAGCGAACAGAUAAGGAGCUUGCUCCUUUGACGUUAGCGGCGGACGGGUGAGUAACACGUGGAUAACCUACCUAUAAGACUGUGAUAACUUCGGGAAACCGGAGCUAAUACCGGAUAACAUAUUGAACCGCAUGGUUCAAUAGUGAAAGGCGGCUUUGCUGUCACUUAUAGAUGGAUCCGCGCCGUAUUAGCUAGUUGGUAAGGUAACGGCUUACCAAGGCAACGAUACGUAGCCGACCUGAGAGGGUGAUCGGCCACACUGGAACUGAGACACGGUCCAGACUCCUACGGGAGGCAGCAGUAGGGAAUCUUCCGCAAUGGGCGAAAGCCUGACGGAGCAACGCCGCGUGAGUGAUGAAGGUCUUCGGAUCAUAAAACCCUGUUAUCAGGGAAGAACAAAUGUGUAAGUAACUGUGCACAUCUUGACGGUACCUGAUCAGAAAGCCACGGCUAACUACGUGCCAGCAGCCGCCGUAA